rnacentral:rRNA from 1 species
AUGCCGCUGCUAGAUCCUCCACACACUCUCUCCCCUGACGUGAAUCCCCAUAUUAUCCCCAUGAAUUUCAGCCUCAACUCUCUAAUCCCCCUCUGUGUGUGUGUUCUUUUGGCUUGCAGGUCAAACCCUAUUGGGGAUGUGAUUUCCCUGCUCCAGAUUGAAGUGGUUGGCGUUGGGCGCCGCCGUGAUGCUGGAUGGUGCAGGUCAGAGCUCCAGUGCGUGUCCGUGGAGCAGAUCCACCGUGGGUGCAGGGGAAUGGAAAUGCUACUGAGAAGAAGAAGAGAGCUUGGUCUGGCUAUUUGGAAGCAGAGUGAAGAGUGUGCUACGGUGAAACCUUAG